AUGGGCCAGCCAGAGUUGGCCCAAAAACAUCAGCCGGCCCAGUUGCCUUGGCUUGCAUCUUCGAGAACUGGAGGGGGCUGGAGACCAGCUCGUCCACCGUGGCCUCCAGCUCAGCCGCCAUGCAGUCAACGCGGUCGCAUGGCUUGGUUGGACGCUUGGCAUUGGCGAAGAAAGCGUCCACGGGGUCGUCGCCGGCCGUGGCCUGCACCCUGGGGCCUUGCUGGUCGGCGGCAGGGACAGGAGCGGCUUCCUUGCUGGAGUGGGGGCUUCUGCAUCUGCUGCCAUCUCUCCUGUGGCGCCUUCCAGGCGGCGAGCGGCUCCGCUGCCUUUCUUCCGGGGCCUUAUUCUUGCCCGUUUCCUUGGCUGGAGCAUGGCACGGGUUGCGCCCACGUCCCAGCAGCGUAUCCCUCCAGGAUCGCCUGCCGGACCCGUCUCCAUCUUGGUCGCGGAGCGGCUCGCCUCGCGGCAAGCCCCUGCAGCCCGAGCUCACCACAGGUGGCUGCUGCUGGGGGCGGUGGCGCUCCGGCUGCUGCCCGUCUUCAACCUUCAUGGUCCAGCCAGCCUGCAGUUACCCAACCGACCAAGGGCGCAAAGACCGGCGACAUCAUGGCCUCCGGCUCCGAUCCCGACGCUCGCUACGUUGAGCUCGCAUCCCUCUCCGGUGAGCAGCUCGUGGACCUCCUCCGCACCACCCACCGCAGGACCGACUUCGAAGCGGUCGCGCGCGUUCUCAGAGCGCGGGAUCGGAGGAUCGCCAAGGCCGAGGCCGCGCUCUCCGCCAUCGACGCCCUGCGGAAGAAGUACGAUGCGCUCCUGGACGAGCACCGUCGCUCGCGGGGCGAGGCCGAAGAGAUGGCGCCCCUGUUCGUUGCCGUCGCCCUUGACAAGGUGCGUAGGGACGAGCCGCGCGUCGAGGAGUUGGACGAUGUGCCGCUGAGUCGGCGUUUGAAGCGGCCGAGGCAAGGCGAGACCGGCGUUGUGGAAUUGGGGAAGGCGGAUGGACAGGGGCAGAGCAAGCCGGUCGCUACUCCGGAGAAUUCGAAGCAGGGGCGGGGAAUUGUGGCACCGGAGAUGUUGGGUGGAGGAGGAAUGCCCCGGACAGUGCCUCCUCUUUCCCCGGGGCUUCUUCAGAGGAGUGUUCUACCAAAGGUUUCGUCCCAAAGCGGCCAUGGCAGAGCCAAAUUUGGCAAGAAAGAAGGCUCAUCUCAUGGUGUCCUAGCAAGGGAAGUUAGUGAGCUACGCAGGGGAAAUGGUAAAAUUAUCCAAACAUCAAGGGUGGAAUCAUCAUCAACAUGUGCGAGCAAGAUACCUGGGACUGCAAUAAAAGAGUGCGCAUCUUCUUCUCUGGGCAUUCGCAGCCUCUCUGGGGCAGAGCUUCGAGCAUAUUUUCUCAAGCCAGAACGAACUGCCCCAGCUUCUUCUUCUAUAGAAAAGAAAACGCAAAAAUUCUGCGAUUUGAUGAAGAAAGGAAAUGGCCUGCUAAGAAACUGCAGGGUGUGUCCUCCAAAAAUAAACUGCUGGGUGGAGACUGAAGAGCAUCCAAAACGUAGAGAAAAUACUAAUUGUUACACAAAUGUUAGCUCGGAGUAA
rnacentral:rRNA from 1 species